rnacentral:rRNA from 1 species
AAUUUUGCGCAAUGGGGGAAACCCUGACGCAGCAACGCCGCGUGGAGGAUGAAGUCCCUUGGGACGUAAACUCCUUUCGAUCGGGACGAUAAUGACGGUACCGGAAGAAGAAGCCCCGGCUAACUUCGUGCCAGCAGCCGCGGUAAUACGAGGGGGGCAAGCGUUGUUCGGAAUUAUUGGGCGUAAAGGGUGCGUAGGUGGUUCGGCAAGUCUUGUGUGAAAUCUUCAGGCUCAACUUGAAGUCUGCACAAGAAACUGCCGGGCUUGAGUAUGGGAGAGGUGAGUGGAAUUUCCGGUGUAGCGGUGAAAUGCGUAGAUAUCGGAAGGAACACCUGUGGCGAAAGCGGCUCACUGGACCAUUACUGACACUGAGGCACGAAAGCUAGGGGAGCAA